UCUCCUUUUUAGCCUUGGAAUGCGGAGUGACUCCACAUCCGCUCCCCUCUCUCCACUCCUAUUCUUAUCUCGGCAUCGUCUGCAGCGACUACAAUGGGGCUGCUGCUGGUCGCGGUGGAUUUCUUGGGCACCAUCUGGGCGCUGCAAGAGAGGAGACUGUCGACGGUCUUCCACGCCGCGACUUCGGUGGUUGGCUCCCUCGUCGUCUCCCUUGUCUACUGCCUUCUGGUGGUGGGAAUCUGACCCGCUCGAUGAUGGCAGUGGAGGGUGGACAACGAAGCUGAUGGGGAAGUAGGUCAACCACGCACAACAAUUAAUGGAUCCUAUCAAGUAUAUUAGUUGGACAUUACCUUUUUUUCCUUUUUCCAUCGUAUUCAUAAUUCGUUGCAGAUUCUUGAUUUCUUUGAAUUAAAUAUCCUGUGCAACCAAGCAUUGCGAUUAAUUUCCGGAUUCUGUGCGAAAGAUUGAAUCUUCUUGAAAGAACCUUUUGCUUUA